GCCCACCCUAGGUAAAACAAUUAGACCCCCCUCCAUGAACCGAGUGUUGGUGAAGUUCGUUCCUUGCCCGCGGACCAAAGUUGGAUCAUUUUCUGGAUCAGGCGAGUCAUGGUGCCAAUAUAUGGGUCACGCAUAGUUUUGUUUGCAGUGAGAAGAGAAGUGCGGCGGCCAGCAUAGCACCUCAAGUUGCGCAAGAGCACAGCGGAAUCGACGAAUUGGUUGGCAUGAGGGGCAGCGACAAUUAUCACCGGCCCGCUUUUGGGGAUGCGCCAUGCGCCUCGGGAGCAGAUCUCGCGGAGGAAGAUAUCGAGACAUAGAGCAAAAAUCCAUAUCCCGAGGUCAUAAACCCAAGAUACCCUGUAACUCUGGGUCAUGACGAACAGGAAGGCUAGGGCACUCAGCACCUAGCUGGAGGACAAAUGGAACGGCCAGCUGCAAUAUUAGAUCUGCGCUCAGAAUACAAUUAGGGCGAGGAGUUGGCGAUGCUUCUUAUGAGAGGGAAGGGUUGCCCCCUCCCCCACACCCAGGCUUGUUGGGGGCUCAACAAUCUAAAAUAAUAAUAUGUCCCUUGAUGUAUGUAUGUAUGUAUUGGUUUAGUGUCCUGGGGAGGCACAGGCAGCACCUGUGCCUCAAGGGCCUCCUGAAGGACAUGGGGAUGUGCCACACUGGAGAAAUUUCUAUAUACAUAUAGAAAGAAGAGAAACAGGAUCCAGAUGGCAACUCUUGAGAAGACUCAGCUCAUUGAGCUGCUCAUCCACUGCUGGCCUGAUGUAUGGCCAUUUAUAGUGAAGCUAUAAGAUGACUUUCUAGAUGAGAUCACUGCUGCUG
rnacentral:sRNA from 1 species